GUUUCGGUAGUGUAAGGGAUAAAGCACGGUGCCCGGAAAGCACAAGUACGGGUUCGAGUCCCGUCUGAGACU
rfam:Haemonchus placei strain MHpl1 genome assembly, scaffold: HPLM_scaffold0001920